GAAGAAGCAAAAUGAUGAGUAAUACUUGCAUGAGCCAAAGUGAGCAAGCUCUGUGUGUGUGUGUGUGCAUUUGUGUGAUGGUUGAUUGUGAGAAUUGUGUGCCUUAUAAUUUGGCAGUGAUAGCUAAACUGAUAAGAUCUGAUUGCUUC